CGAACGCUGGCGGCGUGCUUAACACAUGCAAGUCGAACGCGAAGGGACUUCGGUCCUGAGUAAGUGGCGCACGGGUGAGUAACGCGUAGAUAACCUGUCUUCAUGUCUGGAAUAAUACGCCGAAAGGGGUACUAAUACCGGAUAUUCUUGCUUUUCAUAAGUUAUGCAAGCAAAGGUGGCCUCUGCAUAUGCUACUGCAUGAAGAGGGGUCUGCGUACCAUUAGCUAGUAGGUGGGGUAAUGGCCUACCUAGGCGACGAUGGUUAGCGGGUCUGAGAGGAUGAUCCGCCACACUGGCACUGGAACACGGGCCAGACUCCUACGGGAGGCAGCAGUGAGGAAUAUUGCGCAAUGGGGGAAACCCUGACGCAGCGACGCCGCGUGAGUGAAGGAAGGCCUUCGGGUCGUAAAGCUCUGUCAAGAGGAAAGAAGUGUACAAUGGCUAAUACCUGUUGUAUUUGACGGUACCUCUAAAGGAAGCACCGGCUAACUCCGUGCCAGCAGCGGC
rnacentral:rRNA from 1 species